UGUUACAACUAGAGGAAGCCUGAUUCUUGACUUUCUGUUUGAGUUAUGAGAUAAACAGACUCAAAUACCAUUGAUCAAUGGCCUUUCUCAGACUUGAGUGUAGCAAAGUUCCUUAAGGUCCUUAAGAGGACCCCGGGCAGUGCUCACACCCAAGUUACAUAACCAGCAUAGAGAUGAGUGUAGUGUGGAAGUUCCAGCCCUUAUGUAUUCAAGUUCAGAGGGGGCUCAUGGGUCCUAAAGCAAGGCUCACAUGGGGAGGGGGGAGAGGGUGAUAGGGAGACAGCCAUUAGCAUUGCACAGAGUUAAUGACUUCAUACAAAGGGGUCAGGGGGUUGGGGUAGGGAAUGAGGAUUCGCAAGUCAUGAUACACUAAUUCAGAAUUGGAAAAGGAGAAUUAUAGCAUACUUAAUGAUGGUAUUGGGUUAAAUACAAACAAGGAUGCAAGAAACAGUAAAAAGGCAUGUUGUUGUUGGCGCAGAAAUUUAAUUAGAACAUACCAGUAAGAAAUGCAAAUGCAAAGAAAAAUAAGCAAGUUUCUCACAGCCUAGCCUUGACUUUCAGCCGGCUAGGUAAGGCAACAAUAUAGUAGUAACAGAGAAAAGAGAGAGAUUUUGUGGAGCGUGUGUUUGAAAUCAAGUGUUUUAUGCCUUGUGUUCGUGUCUUUGAAAGAAAAGAAGCACAAGGUACGUAUAGAUUUUGAAAAUGAGUAAGAGAGAUGUAAUAAGCUACAAACAUGAACAAUCAUGAUUCAGAAUCAAUUAUACAAGUGAUCACCUUUAAUUAAGGGAUCACUCACUUAACGGGCGCUAACAGUUUUAAAUAAGGAAAGAAAUUAAUUUGUAAGCACGCUGACAGUUGCUAUAAAAGAAGUAGUAAAAUAUUAAGUAAAAAUCGAGUCUAGGUACAGAAAUACUCUAAUUUGCGAAGGGACUCAGUAAGGCGAAACAUGGAAAAGAAUCAAUUAACCUUAACAUGCGAGUGAAAUCAGAAUUCACAAAGGAAAAAGUUUGAAAUCAGUCACAAGUUUGAAAAUUAGAAUAUAAAUAGAGUGCACAAACAUUAUACAUACGAGGCCAAGCCUAUUGGCAAAAGGAAAUAGCAUGCAAUUGUAGCACAAAAUUCAGUAGACAGCAACAUUCGAAGCAUGAUAGUCCAUUAGGUCAAGUCAUAUUGAAUCAGCAGUAAAGAAAACAUAUAAUAUCAAAAGCAUGUGAAGAUCUCACAGUAGCAGGUGAGGAAAACCCUUUUUGAAAAUUAGAGUUUCGAGCAUAAUCUAGUUUUAGAGAAUAUAGAAACCCAAAACCAGAAGAAUCACACAAUGGAAUAAAGGUUUCAAAAUAAAGAACUUCAAAUCAAGUCAUGUACAUAAACUAGCAGUCUCAGACUCAAAACCAUAGGGUUUUCAACAAUAGUGGAGUGUCAAAAAGAAGAUAAACAAACAAAUUGGACAAAACUUAAGCAAACAAGCAUUCGUCUAAUGAACAGUCAAAAGAAAUUAGGGCAUUAACAUGCAAACUCAGGUAGAAGAACGGUAUGAGCAAACACGGUGAAACAUGUCGAAAAAUCAGAGAAACAUAUUGAAACAACUUAACAAGAACCCUAAUCGAAAAGAUAAUAAGUUUCGAAAGCAGAGUUCUAAAAGAAACUUUUAGAAAAUCGCUUAGAAGUUCAAAGAAAACAUAGAUCUGAAACAAAUCUGAAAGAAAUAAAAAGAACCUCAGAGAUUAGGAUUUUAGAAGAACCCCAAGUGAUGAGAAAGGCCUUGAAAAUCAUCGAUCUAAGUAGAAGAUUCAAAGGUCUGACUCGAAUGGCCAUGGUUUGCCGGUGAAAGGUUAGAGACGACCGGAGAACAGCCAUGAACUGAAAUUGAACAAGUCCUAGACCAAGAUCUUUUCAAGAUCUGAACUUGUGACCAUAAGAACAAACAUACACAAGCCAUGAAAGGUUGGUACAUGUUUCGAAUGACCACAGGAGACCAUAGAUUAUGGAGGUAUUAGGGUUGUAUUUUGAUGGCGGCGGCUAGGGUUUAUAGGAGUUUCGGAGAGAAUUGAGAGAGAUGGGGAUGCAAAGUCAGUGGUA
rnacentral:lncRNA from 1 species